rnacentral:lncRNA from 1 species
AAAUUUCAUCAUGUAAAUAACAGUCAAUAUAUUAAUAAGCCACGAUAAAAUAAAUAAGUAAUAACUAAUUUUAGCUUAAAAUUAAUUACAUGGAGUUUAUUUUAACGAGAACAUAUUCAAUUGGCAAUUGAUUGUCGCCUAGAGGGGGUGAAUAGACGAAACCUGAAAUUUAGAACAGGAUAAACAUUAGUUGGAGUAUAGAACUAAGUUCUAUUCUUGCAAAAAAGUGUUGCAUUCAAAGAAUACAGAAUAAACUCAAAGCAACAAAACUAAAUAUAUAAGGAGAAUAGAGCAAGAAGGCUUAUAUAAGGAGAAGAAUAAAACUAGUUCUUAGUUGCUUCUUAGAAUGAGACUUUAAAUGGAAGCAACACAAAAUAGUAACAAUGAAGAAUAGCGCAAGAGAACUUUAGAGAAGGAGAAGAUAAACAAAUCACAAACAAUAAACACAAGAGACAUGGGUGAUUUGUUUUUAUCAAAGUUUGGUUCACCAAGAACCUAAUCCUCGUUGAGGAGUCCACAAAGGACAGGUCUUUUUCAACCCUUUCCGUCUCUCCAAAGACCAGUGAGUGUUCCUUCUUCUUUGUCAACAAAAGAUCAAAGUCUCCAUAAGGCGAACCACAAAGAUAAAGUUGCCUUGCUAGCUUGCCACACAGAGGAAGUCAACGAGCACUUCUUCCUAUUUGGGGUCGAGCUCGGAGCUAAUCCUGAGCGUCUUGUCGCUAGAGCUGCUGGGAUCGAGGGGAUGGUCUUGGUUGCCUCGGCUGGCACAAAGUUGUUGGCAUGUCUCUUGGGGUCAGAGACCUCGUUGACGAGGUUCUCCAGAUCGAUAAUGAGUGCCACAGACUCGACGAGAGACUCGGUGUAUUCGACGCACUAGACGCCACACUCGUAGGGGUGGAGGUAUGUGGGGCCGACGGUGAUGACUCCCAUCGGGCCUAACAUUUUCAGCUUGAGGUAGGUGUAGUUUGGUUUGGCCAUGAACUUGGCGUAGCACGACCUUUUGAAAGGGAAAUGGCCUUAAGCAUUUUCUAUAACCGAUUUUGGCGCUUGACGACCAUCACAAAUCGUAUGGACUUACUAGUUUGCCUAGUUGAUUAUUUCUCAGGUGCAUAAGUCCAUCUAUAUCAAUUCUAAAUCAACAGUCUAGAAUACCGUAGAUUAUUCCGGAUAGGAGAAGCUUUUUGGAAAAUUCACCUGUGCUUGGACCGUCUGAGCCCUUCUGGCGGAUCGUCCGUGACACCAAGGUGUGCCUCGAACAGAAACUAUGCAAAACUCGCAUUUACACUACGAACUGUCCGAAGGAGAAGAUAGCACGGUCUGGGACCAAGCUCGGACCGUUCGGCCUCCGGCACGCACGUCCGCUCAUUGAAAAACCAGAAGAACUCGAAGGUGACGGGUUCGAUAAAAUGCAUUUUUAGUGUCCUCGCGGAUCGUUCGGGGUGCAUGGCCGGACCGUCUGCGACUGCUUUAUCUAACAUCUGACGACACAUUUAAUGCACUUGUAGCCAUUGAUAUAGCUGUUACUGCUGAUGGUUCUGAUUUCAGCCGUUGAUGUGCAGGGGCGGACCGUCCGGACCAAGGGCACGAAUCGUCCGCGGUUGGUAGAAAGGAGGCAACGACUAGGAAGUAGUUGGUGGCUAUAAAUACAACCCCAACCACCUCCAUUCAAUCCAUCCAAGCAUAUCAUUCACUCACAUUCAAUACAAGAGCAAGUACUCCAUCCCAAGACACAUUCAAAGCUUCCAAGUCUCUCCAAGUGCCAUAAUUGUGACUAGUGAUCAUUAGUAUUUAGUGUCUUGGGAAGUCUAGAGAGAGUGUGACUCGGUGCUUCAUUUGUUGCUCUUGUUGCUUGGUUUUCUUAAUCGUGAUUUCUUCAUCUCCUUUUAAAGUCUCAAGUGACUUGCAAAGCUAGCAAGAGACACAUAAAUGUGUGGUGAUCCUUGUGGGGUCUAAGUGACCCUUGAGAUUAAGGAGAAGCACUCAACCAGUCUAAGUGACCAUUUGAGAGAGGGAAAGGGUUGAAAGAGACCAAGCCUACAUGGCCUCGUCAGCGGGGAGUAGGUUCUUUGGAACUGAACCUCGGGAAACAAAUCGUUGUGUUCACUUGUGUUGAUCAUUACCUUAUGAUUUGAUUCUUCCUCUCCCCUCUCUCUAAGUUCUCUUGCUUACAAUCUUUUUGAGUUUGCUCCCAAAGUUAUCUGCAUUGAUCAAGCAACUCAUUGCAAGAAGAACUCUCCUCCGCACUCUGAUUUCGUUAUUACUCAUUUCUAAUCCUAACCCCGAGUAAAGUUCGUGUUCAAAAUUAUAAUUUUCAUGUUUCACCGAGUCACCCCCUCCAGACGACUUUCACCUUCCCAAAAUAACAUGGUAGGUACCUCGAAAGUGAGGACCUCCUUCCUAAAGUUGGAUGGGGUCCCGAAACAGAUGGGCAGAUUGAUCUACCCGAGGGGAUGAACUCUUCUGUUAGGGGUGAUACCGUGGAAUGGCUCGGCUACAGCCCGAACCUAGGACCGACUGAUCCCUAUGAGCUCCAAGGUCUCAACAUAGAUUAUGUUAAGGCUGCUGCCUCCAUCCAUGAGAAUCUUGGAGAGCCUAGUGUUGCUGAUGGCUGGGUCACGACAAGCGGGUACUUCCUUGGGUACGGGACGUAGUCUGUGUGGUCAUCUCGGUCGAAGGUGAUGGCUUUGUUGGACCAGUCUAGAUAGACCGGCGCCGCUACUUCGACGGAGAAGACCUCCCGUUGUUCUUGCUUCCAUUGUAUCAAGGAGAGGUUCACCAUUUGCCUAUCGAAGAUCAUGCAAUUAUGGACAUCCGGGAACUCCUCGCCCUAGUCGUUGCCCUUGUUACCGGAGCCUUUCUUCUUGCUAUCAUAUGUAGAGGGGUCGGGCUUGUUGUAGUAACACCAGAGCAUGUCACACUUCUUGAGGGUAUGCUUGAUGGGCCCUUGUGGUAAGGGCAAGACUCCUUCAACAUCUUGUCUAAUACGUUGGGGCCCUGUGGGGGCUUCAGGGGUUUCUUUUGUCUAUAGCGACGACAAGAUCCACCUCGAGGGCUUCGUGCUUGCCUUGCGGCGCCUUAUUUUUCUUGUUCUUCUUGGGGUUGCGUUGGGUGAUCGCCUUGGGGGCGUCCUCCUUCCGCUGCCCUUGUCCUUGUGGAAAAUGGUCUCAACGACCUCCUGACCCGAAGCGAAUUUGGUGGUGAUGUCCAUCAAUCCGCUUGCUUUGGUGGGGGUCUUGUGACCCAACUUGCUGACUAAAUGUCAGCAGGUGGUGCCGGUGAGGAAAGCCGCGAUGACGUCUGAGUCAGUGAUGUUGGGGAGCUCGGUGCGCUGCUUGGAGAAUCGUCGUAUGUGCUCAUGCAGAGUCUCAUCCUGCUUCUACCGACAACUCCAAAGGUCCCUGGAAUUUCUGGGACACACAUAUUUGCCUUGGAAGUUCCCCCCCACAACCUUGACCAGGUCAUCCUAGUCAUGGAUUUGGGCAGGUAGAAGGUGCUUAAGCUAUGCUCGAGAAGAGUCGGAUAGGAACAUGGGUAGGUUAAGAAUGGUGAGAUUGUCAUCAUUCGUUCCUCCUAGAUAAUAGGCCAGGCGAUAGGCAAUGAGCCAUAGCUCUGGCUUGGUUUCCCCCGAGUACUUGGCAAUAGUACUCAAGGCUCGAAAUCGGGCUAGGAAUGGUGCCCUACGUAUGGCUUAGCGGAAGACCUAAGGACCUAGAGGCUCGAGCGAGGGGCUUCAAUCUUCCCCACUAUCGUAGCGACCACCCCGCCGAGGGUGGUAGCUAUGAGCGGCAUGACGUCGGUGGUUGUGGUGCAGCCGCUCGCCAAGGUGAUCACGAACAACACUGUGUUGACGAUUGUUGAGGAGGCAGUCUCGAAUUGGGGGGGAUUUGUCCUUUUAUGGGCUCGAGAUGGAUCGAGGCCUCCCUCUCUGGGUGAGAGGGCCCCGCUCGGCGUCUCGAGGCGGGCUCCCGAAGCUGAGAGGCAGAACUCUUGGCCUGCUGGACUACAACGCACUCUAGGAGACCCCUGAUCUCGACGUGGAUUCAGUGCCCUUCAGUGGUUGAUGGUUCUAGCAUUGUUCGAAGCAAGAUUGUCGCCGCAGCGAGGUUCAGGCUGGCCCUAUGAAAGGUCAGAGGGGGUCAGCCCUGUGUCUUUCAUGAUGCGGCGGUGGACAUCGCGUGACUUGGUACGUGCCCCCCGUUGGGGCUCGGUCUGUUGUUUCCUGCUUGAGAACGUGCUGAAGCUGUUGUAGCCAUACCUUGUUCUUCUUGGAGCUUGGCAUGUAGCUCGCGGAGCUAUUCAAGGUGCGCGAUCUGACUCCUCAUGGGGGUAUGAUCCGCACCUUGUUCCCUUGGUUCUUCGGCGUGUGGUGCUGGCGUCAGGGCGUUGGCCUCCCAAGGCAUGCCAAGCUGCUUUCCCUCUCUGUGCUCCUCGUGCUCAAUAUGGAAGCACUCCCGAAUCAGGUCGUAACCCUCAUCAGUGGAUCUGUAGUCGUUGGAACCAUCAGAGAGGUAGUAGUCACAUGCGAACAAUAAAUGCCGCAUGGCCCUGGGAUCAUGGAGCCCGGAGAAUUCUAGGCCAGGACUCAAAUCAUCCCCUACCUCUAAGCCUACAUACUCCAAGUUUGGAGAGGUUGCAAGCAGAUCUAAUGUCGACCGCAGAUGAUGACCUGGGAGUUCCUCAUACAUACUUGUGUAGGUGCUUGUCGAAUGGGGGUAUCCUGGAGGAUCGAAGCUAAACCGGAAGGGGACAGAAUUGAAUACCGAUGGUACCUCCCGACUCACUGGUGGAGCCAGCACCUCUCGACCCACAGGAGGGGAGCCGGUGAAGUUGGCACCUCCCAAUCCGUGGGAAGGGGAGCCGGUGGAGUCAGCGUUGGAGCAACGUAUGUUGAUGUCGAUGCUUCGAGUAUGAAGCUAACGCACGACAGGUCCCUCGCAAGGGAGUCCGCAUUGUCAGUCUGCCUAGAAGCACCGGUUGGGCGUGGAGCGCUGCCCAUAGCACAGUUGCGGUCGUUCCAUCUCUAUCUCCUCCCGCGAGAAGGACGGCGACGGAGGUCUGGAUGUCCCAUAGCACAGUGAGCACGACUGAUAUACCGGUUUUACACUCUACAGAGGUUGCACAUCUUUACCCACAAAUCAUGUUACCCAUCUACCAAGGGACCGCGACUCCCAUACACCUCUACCACGGAAGCAAGGCAGGGUAACACUACGAGGCCUUUACAAAGUUCCACUAGCUUCAGAAAACCCGCUAUAGUUUUUAGGAAGCUCCAAUGCAGGGAUUCCUCGCCUGACCGCCAUCGCAGCAAAAUCAACCCAAGGACCUCCCUACACUGACCACUCCCCUACUGCUCUUGCCCUUUUCGGGUAAGGUAGUCCUCCACUAGCUUUCCUAAUUAGUCAGCUAAGGGCGUCCCAUACCACCCUUGUGAUAGCACUGUUUUCCCGGAUGGUCACUCAAUGUUCCAAUUAACAUAAUGAUCUUAUCAUGAACAGUAAAUAACAACUGAUAAUAAAAGUAUGAUCAUGAAUAAUGUGUAUCUCCAUACCCAAAACCACAUAAAGCAAUAUCAGAUACUACCCAAAAAAUCAGUGGUAAACAAGGUAUAAAGAUAGCCAAACUAGGGUAACCUAUUGGGUCCCAUCAAAUUUAACCUAUGCACAUCAUCAUGAUUUAAAGAAACAUUAUUGGGAAAAUAGAAGUGAUCAAGGGCAUAACUUACCAUAAACGAGCUCCUGCUCAGCAGUCUCCACCUGCUGAACACCCGGAUCCUCUAUGGCUGGCUCGUCCACUCGCAACAAUACAAACAAGAACAGGAUAGCAGAAAUUAACAUCACAUCAGGCAGCAGAACAAAAUUCAUGAUAAUAUUCUACGCGUCGUAACAAGAUCGUAGGAACAAGAAUCACUAAAUUUGGAGUUACGGUUAUUAAGUUAUGAAUUUCUAAAGUUAUUUAGUGCCUAGUAUAAAAUAAUUCAGGUGAAUAAUUUUAAUCCAAAUUUCAUGGCUAAAUAGAGUUAAUAGGUGAUAAACAAUAUUAAAACAAAAUUAAUGCCGCUGGAAUGGAUCAAUUUGAAGUUAAAAUGAAUUAAAUAUGAAUUAUACAAGUUUCUGGAAUUAUUUUUUUUACUAAAAAUCAAUUUCUAUAAUUAAUUAUCUGAUUUAUCUGUUCUUUGGACUGCGCGCCAUUUACUAAAGAGUUCCGGGGCUAACGUAUAAAAAUCCCCAAGACUCAGUUUGAUACAGCGAUGGACUGCAAGUUAAUUCAGAUAUUGUUUAGGGUCUCUUAAAUAAGUUUACCGGUCGAAGGGGGUAUGAGCUAACGCAUACCGCACGAUGUGCCAUAUUAGAUUUCAAUUAAACCGAAUCGGUACUCAUUCGCAGUCGUCGGAUGCAGGUCCGAUGGUCCCGAGACAUCAAUCCUCCGAUCCAACCGAGACCAUCAGAUGGACACCUGGUGGUCAGGAUUACACUCAUCGCAUAGCUACUUUAGUUCAAAUCGUGGCCACACAACGGUGAAUCAACGACAGACGAGCUACCGGGGCCAGGAUCUAAUCCGACCGCACGCCCGGAAUCCAACGGUUGCAUACACAUCGGCCGAACCGUUACCUAGCGCCUAAUCUCGGCCAUCCGCCAAUGGUUCGACGACCGAGAUCGCCCGCCCCCACUGGUGACGAAACACGGCGACGGCGUCCGGUUCCCGCGGCGGUGCCAUAGGUGACACUUGCCCUUGGUCGAGGUGAUGACCUAAACUUAACGUCGGUAUGUGGUAAACGAUGCAGAGGUGAUGACGAAGGUUUUUGUGAAGUUUCAUACCUAAGUUUGAAGUGGAUCACUCACGACCACGGCCACGUGUGGAUCGACGAG